rnacentral:rRNA from 1 species
UACGGAGGGUGCAAGCGUUAUCCGGAUUCACUGGGUUUAAAGGGUGCGUAGGUGGAUUAGUAAGUCAGUGGUGAAAUCUCCGGGCUUAACCCGGAAACUGCCAUUGAUACUAUUAGUCUUGAAUACCGUGGAGGUCAGCGGAAUAUGUCAUGUAGCGGUGAAAUGCUUAGAUAUGACAUAGAACACCAAUUGCGAAGGCAGCUGGCUACACGAGCAUUGACACUCAGGCACGAAAGCGUGGGGAUCAAACAGGAGUUAG